GACGAACGCUGGCGGCGUGCUUAACACAUGCAAGUCGAACGGAAAGGCCCUGCUUUUGUGGGGUGCUCGAGUGGCGAACGGGUGAGUAACACGUGAGUAACCUGCCCUUGACUUUGGGAUAACUUCAGGAAACUGGGGCUAAUACCGGAUAGGAGCUCCUGCUGCAUGGUGGGGGUUGGAAAGUUUCGGCGGUUGGGGAUGGACUCGCGGCUUAUCAGCUUGUUGGUGGGGUAGUGGCUUACCAAGGCUUUGACGGGUAGCCGGCCUGAGAGGGUGACCGGCCACAUUGGGACUGAGAUACGGCCCAGACUCCUACGGGAGGCAGCAGUGGGGAAUAUUGCACAAUGGGUGGAAGCCUGAUGCAGCAACGCCGCGUGCGGGAUGACGGCCUUCGGGUUGUAAACCGCUUUCGCCUGUGACGAAGCGUGAGUGACCGUAAUGGGUAAAGAAGCACCGGCUAACUACGUG
rnacentral:rRNA from 1 species